UGCCAAACGCGGACUGCUCACUCUUGUGCGAUCAAUGCUUUAAACUUGCUAUACAACACUUAGAAGCAGCAUGCAUUACAUUUCUUUGUUGCUUCGGAAUGUUUGUGCUUGGAGAUCUCGACUUUAAUCCUUGGAUGACCGGCAGCCGGUGCAGUUAGGUCAAAUUCGAAUUCAAAAUUUAAAUUCAAAGAUUCGGAUUCUAAAACAAAGCAACACGUCAGACUGAAAACCCGAUUCACGAUGAGGAUUCUGCGCGUCUCAGCACACAGAACAUCACUUUUUAUCAUCACUUUUGGUUAGAGCUUUCUGAUCUUUCUGCUCUGAAAUCAACAUGCCUCACACUCGCAAUAGGAACCCGAGUCCAAUCCCAGAGGUGACAUGGGACACUGGAUUGAAAGAGAUGAACGAGACCUGGAAGGGAGCUAUUGCCUGUUUGGGAGUUGCUGUCUUUUUUGUCAUGACAAUUGGGAUAAUUUAUUGGCAAGUUGUGGAUCAGCCCAACAAGAACUGGAUCCUCAAGGGGAGUUUUAGUGGGCUUAUUUGGGAGAGACGGACGCAAACUCUGGUCAUUCAGACACUGACUGAAGAUAAGACGUUUGCGGAGAUUGACGUGGGGAAUGUGGGGAACCCUGAUAUUGAGGUUCCAUUUGUGAGGAACAUGUGCUGGCUCAACAAAACCGAAUUCUGCUACACGUGGGAUUCGGUGGCAGAGGUGAAGAUAUCUCUGGAAACAGAGGAGGAAUCAGAUACUGAGUGCUACAGUGUAACAUGGACUCCAAUUCACUGUCAUGUGGACCUAAAGGACUGUUUCUCCAUGGUGAAUAUUUCGUGGUAUGGAGGUGCCAGUGUCCGAGCGCACAACUGGCCGAUAAACGAGGCCAACAUUUCCAUGCAACCCUUUACAGUCAGCGACCUUCGGGACAACCCCUCUGGCUUCGGAUCAGUUUUAGAGCGCUACUUCCUGGGAUCUUCAGGUGUGUCAGUUAUAGUUGCCCCGAACAUCCCUCUUCAUGUAGGAAUGGAAAGCAGACAGCAGUACUGUUUGCAGACACCACCCAGCAUGGAGCACAUGCCUCUGCAGUACACUGUGUGUGUUGGACAUAACAUUAAAGCAGUCCAUCAGGAGUCAAUGAAACUGCUCUCAACAGCCAGUCGAGAGCUGCCAAACAUGGAUGUCUUACGGCUGCCUUUCUGGAAGCUUCUAGCAAAUGUGGACUCAGAGGCCAAGCUAGAGAGAGAGCUGAGAACCUUCUCAAACCGUCUGAAGAGGCAUCACCUGGGGGAGGGAGUCAUCAGCCUCGACGAACAUUCCACAGCUCUCCUCUCCAACAUGGACCAAGGCUACCUCAAUGGCAAGAAAAGGAUGUCUAAGAGACAGACCAGGGACCUCCCUUUUGUAAAGCUUCUAAACAUUUCCAUCACCCUGUCCCCGUACCUGAGUGUGGACUCCCAGCAGUUCCAGAGCUCCAUGCAGGAAGGCAUUGACUAUUGGCUGAGCCUGCCCUCAGGGCCACAGGGUCAACUGGUGCCUCUGUUGACUCAGUGGAAAGGAAAAUACAGUGUGAAGCUGAACCUCACCAACCCAGAAGCCACUAACUGGUUUCUGGACAAAGUGGACAGCUUGCAUAGCCAUUUGGGCAUGGAGUAUGUCAUCCUGGAAGGUGGAGAGGGAAACCCUUUUGAGGUACAGGCCCUGCGCAUCCCUCUGGCAUUGGUUGGGGAUGAAUACAUCACACUCCUUGCUGACCUGGCAGAGAGAAUAGGGGACAAUGUCAUUGUCACCUCGGGAACAAGGUCCAGCCACAAUCCGCUUUUCAUCCGUAUGAGUGCACUACAGUCUGACUGGAGUUACUCUGGCCUUAAGGGCAUCAUUCCAUCCCUACUGCAUCACAGUCUUCUGGGAUAUAAUUUCUUCAUUCCUGAUGCAGUAGGUGGCGCUCUCUCUGCCGAACUGGUCGGAGAUGACGAGCUCUUCAUCCGCUGGCUGGAGAUCGCAGCCUUCCUUCCUGUCAUCAGCUUCCAGACACCUCCAUGGGUCUUUGAGAAGGAAUGGGUCCUAAACAUCACCAGAUUCUACAUAGCCAAGCACCACGACUUCGUGGUUCCUCUGAUAUUGAAAUAUGCAAAAGAAUGGCAAGCUAAUGGAAACCCCAUCUACAGACCACUGUGGUGGCUCAGCCCGGACGACCCGGUCACAUUCACCAUUGAUGAUGAGUUCCUUGUUGGAGAUGAGGUCCUUGUAGCACCAGUGACUGAAAAGGGAGUUAUACAAAGAGACAUUUACCUGCCAGAGAGUGACUUUCAGUGGCAGGACACUAACAACGCUCAGGUGUUUGAUGGAGGGACAUUUCUGGAAAGUUACCCGGUCGGCCUUGGGGACGUGCCGGUUUUCAUACGACGGAGAUCCUAAGGCUUACUUACCACUUAUUUUUUAUUUUAUUUUUUUUACUUUUUUGAAGUUUUCACUUGUGCUGAUCUCAAAUUGCACUUUCCAAAAAGACCAUUAUCUGUGUCUCAAGGAGUCUUGAGAAAAACUGUGGUUUAUACUUGAUAAAUUCUGACAGCCUCCUAAAGUUGAACUGUGUCCACAUCUCAUGAAAUGGAGCCAGAAAUCAAACCCUUUAUUUGCUUAAAAACAAUCAAUGGAAUUUUACAAAGAAGACCAAACAAUAAUCAAAAGUCUCUGCAGAGAAAGACUACAAGCAAAAAACGAUUCGCUGAAGUUGGAUGAAGAUGAAAAAUAGUUCACUAUGAUUCUUCUCAACUCUUCUCCAGCGGGGUUUUUUCUUGAAAUUUGUGCACAUUUUGCUGUAGCUGUGUAAUGUUUUAACUGUACCUCAAAUUGCCAUGGUGUUUUGUUUGUUGUUGUAAAAUCUGAGCGAUUACAAGCACUUAAUAAUUGAGGAGAUUGAAAUGAAGUGCUUUUAGCAUACAUAGCACAAUUACUUUUGUAUAUUAAUUAAACAAUAACAAAAUCAAUCAAUAGUACAAGGAUAAGAGCCACUGACAAUCAAAAUAUAGGAGAUGAUUUCUCCUCAUUUCAUAGCUGAACAGUCUUAGUUUAAAUGCAACACACAAUAUUGGAUAUAUUGUUAUUUCAUAAAGGUAGUUUUUGGUAUGCUUAUUUUAAUAAUUAUUUAGUUUAGCGUCUUCUAAUUGACAAGAUUAAACCACUAGCAUAUUACUAGAUCAUGAGUGAUUUUCAAUGUAGUGACCGUUUAACAUGGGAUUUUAUAUAGGGUAGAGUUUUAUAUUUAAAUCAAAACUGACUAAACUUGAUCAUUCAGCCAAUUUGAUGACAAAGCUUACUGUAUGCUUUAACCUCUGCAUUUAAAUACAUUGAUGAUUUUAACGACACAUAUACUCAUAUCAUGUGCUCAUAUCUAAAAAAAGAAGAAAAAAAGUAGUGUCUGGUGUAUGUGGCAUUUAAUAAAAUACAGAUAAAUUCCUUACAAUAAUGCAUUUCUAGAAAUACAUUUCAGAAAUGCAAAAUUAUAAUAGAGGUGCUGCUACUUUCCUUCAGCUUUGAAUAUAUCGUGCCUCACAAGAUCCAGCUUUGGACCAUGGGUCCCAGCGCUUAGAGACUUCAUUUCAGUCACUACCAUAUGAAACUACAGUACAGAGAGAGACAAUGAGAAGUUGAUCAGCGUUACCUGAUAUGUGUGGCCUACUAGGAAUGUCUUCUUAAUCUUCACUGUGAUUGUAGAAUGUUUACUGUAAGUGCAGGUUUCUCAGGUCAAACAAAUUGAAUCUAAAAGAGAGAAAAUGUCUUACUUGUGCCCCAGCACACUGUUAGUGUCUUAAUCUCGUGGUUUUUGAUGCUCUUUUCACUAGUGCAUUUCCGGAAGAGAAAAAUUGUGAUGAUCUUAUAUAGAGUGGUGUUUUUGGAGGCUUUUUCCCCCUGUAUUUUAUAUUAAAAUGCUACACUUUGAUGACAGUGAUAUGUUGAAAUGUUACCUGCUGCAUAAUCUUUGCUAGUUACAUUUUGUAUAAAUCAGGUGCCACAAGUUGUCCACAGCAGUAUGCAUAUAUCAUUCAUUGUGCCAUUCAAUGUUUUUAUCUUCUGUAAAAUCUGAAAAAUAGAGAUGUCAAUCUGCAAUAAAGUUUACAUUUUGUUACUGUAGGAACCCAUUGUUUUAACUGUCCUUUGGAGACUAUAUGUGAAGAAAAUAUUGCACCCCAAAAUCAAAUGGAAGAAAUAAGACAUUAUAUUUUGCUUACAGAAAAAUUAAGCCAAUUGUUUAUUGCAUUAAGAUUUUUUUUUUUGCAUUGAGACAUUAUUUUCAUGACAAUUAAGCAGUAAAAAUAACUAUAAUACAGUAAUAUUUAGUACAACAAAUACUAUUAUGAUAUAAAAAUACUUUACAAUUUGAAUAAAUAAAUCAGAACAAUGGUGAUUGUAAAGUAUUUUUACAUCAUAAUAGUAUUUGCUGUACUAAAAAAAAUUAUAGUAUUAGUUAUUUUACUGUAUUAUGGCAUUGUUUACUGUUUUACAGUAAAAACAAACCUGUAGUACAAGUACAGUAGUGCUUAAAGGUAAAUUAAGCCUA